rnacentral:rRNA from 1 species
UACGUAGGGUGCAAGCGUUUAAUCGGAAUUACUGGGCGUAAAGCGUGCGCAGGCGGCUUUGCAAGACAGAUGUGAAAUCCCCGGGCUUAACCUGGGAACUGCAUUUGUGACUGCAUGGCUGGAGUGCGGCAGAGGGGGAUGGAAUUCCGCGUGUAGCAGUGAAAUGCGUAGAUAUGCGGAGGAACACCGAUGGCGAAGGCAAUCCCCCUGGGCCUGCACUGACGCUCAUGCACGAAAGCGUGGGGAGCAAACAGG